rnacentral:lncRNA from 1 species
UUAGGCAUAUCAUCCGGCGAACUUUUGUUCGUCCGUCGGAUUGGCGGUGGUGCCUAGGUGGUUUUGCCGUGGUUGUGGUGGUGUAGGCGGUGGUUCUAGGUGGUUGUGCCGUGGUGGCGGUGACGAGAGUGGUGGCCGAUAAGUGGUUAUGCCGUGGUGGUGGUGACGGGAGAGGUGGCGGAUAAGUCGUAGUGACGUUUGGUGCUGGUCAUGUUAUAUAGUGUGGCUUCGAUUAGAGCCGCGGAUUUGAUCAGAUCCACAAACAACGACGGAGGAUGAGUGGCCGGAAACGGUGGUGAUAGUGGUUGCGAGCCUAUUGGAUUGACGGAGGAGAUGCUAGAGAGAGAGUAUGCAUGUAAGGUUUCAGUAUUGAAUUGAUGAGAAGAAAAAGCAAGAGACAAAAAUUUCUAAGAGCAUUCACAUCCAACCCCCUAAAAUUAUACAUACAUUCCACUAAAAAACAACUCUUAUAUCAAUAUAUUUCCACUAAAAACAAAUAUUUUUUCUCUCUCCUUUUCAAUUAAAUAAUAUUUUUAUACCUUUAUCAUUACAUUUUUCUCCCUCCUUCACUCACAACCACUUUCAAUAUAUAUUAAAAAAUUAUAGUAGGUGAACAGUGUCCCCCCAAAUAUACAGAUGAACAGUAAUAUUUUCUCUUUCCUUCACUCACAACCACCUUUUAUACUUUUUAUAUUUUAAAAACACCACACUGAGAAUAUGAUGCCUUGGAUGUGGAUGCUCUAAUCCAUCUAUUUUGUAUCGAAAAACCCACUCAAAACUUAAUUGGAUAUUUUUUGAAGUCCAUCUAGGAACUGUGUAAACUCAAAACUUAAUUGGAUAUUUUUUGAAGUCCAUCUAGGAAUUGUGUAACGUCUUUUGAUGUGCAGUGCAACCUGAUUAAAAAAAGCCAUUACUUUACAAAUUAAUGUAUGUACUUUAUAGAAUAGAAAUAAAGAUUCAACAAUCCAUAAUAUCAUAUAUGAAAUAUAGAGAAUAUUUUAAGUUAUUCAACAAUAUAUUCAUUUAUUUUGUUCACCCAUACUAAAAUAUUAUGAUUAUUUUUCUAAUUGCCACUAAACUAUUAACAUAUGAUAAUAGGUAAACGAAAUGAACAGUGGAAGCAUGCUUCCACAUGAAAUUACAUGCUUCCACACAAUUAUUUUUCUAAUUGUGUAACGUCUUUUGAUGGAAACAUGCUUCCACACAACUGCUUGGCAGCCAUGCAUCAUAGUCCAAAAAGGAAACGUGUCAUAAUCCAGGAGUGAUUGGAUUCCUCUAUAAAGAGAUGCCAUUAUCACAUGAAAUUACACAUAUUUUUUUAUAACUUUAAAAGAUGUAAUGUUUAAUUAAUCAUAUAUCAAGCAUCUAACUCUUAUAAAUAAAUUAUAAGAGAUUUCAUUAUGCCAUUACCAAUAUAGUUGGUAUUUUUAUUAACUAUAUAAAAAAAAUCUUAUGUAAAAAAAUUACAUAAAUAACUAAAUAAAAAAACAUUUCUUAUCUAAAAAAUUACCUAAAAAAUUACUUAAAAGGUAGAAAAGCCAUUGGAGGUCUAAGAGGAUUCACAUCCAUCCCACCAAAUUUUGUGAGUGUGUUCUUUACAUUAUAACAAGCGAUUGUUAGUGAAGGAGAAAAAAUUUGUUACUCUUCAUCUGUAUAUUUGAGAGAACACUACUUUGUAAUUUUUUAAUAUAUAGUGAAGGAGAAAAAGUUUGU